rnacentral:rRNA from 1 species
UACGGAGGAUCCGAGCGUUAUCCGGAUUCAUUGGGUUUAAAGGGUGCGUAGGCGGACUGGUAAGUCAGCUGUGAAAGCUUACAGCUCAACCGUGAAACUGCCGUUGAUACUGUUGGUCUUGAGUAAACAUGAGGUGGGCGGAAUUUGCGGUGUAGCGGUGAAAUGCUUAGAUAUCGCACAGAACACCAAUUGCGAAGGCAGCUCACUGGGAUUUCAUUGACGCUGAUGCACGAAGGCGUGGGUAUCAAACAGG